rnacentral:rRNA from 1 species
AGAGUUUGAUCCUGGCUCAGAUUGAACGCUGGCGGCGUGCCUAACACAUGCAAGUCGAACGCUCUAGAGCAAUCUAGGGAGUGGCGGACGGGUGAGUAAGACGUGGGUCAUCUGCCUUUCGGAGAGGAAUACCGGCGAGAAAUCGCCGACAAAACCGCAUACGUUCGGGGAAACCUGAAGAAAAUCGAGAGAUGCCGAAA